rnacentral:lncRNA from 10 species
GGCUACAUGAGCACAGAAAGUCCAAAUCACGAAUUUUUUUAGAGCUGGCAGAGACUCUACAAAUCAACUCCAUCCCCCUCAUUGUGGAAAUAAGGAAACUGAGAUGAGAAGAGGCGGGGAAGGGAGAGGAGGGGAGAGGAAGGAAGGAGAGGGGAGGAAAGGAGAAGACAGGAGAGAUUCAUUCAUGUUUGCACAGUACAGAGAACAGAAGUUGCAUCUCCUAACUCUUUAAUGUCUCAAAUAGGAAUCAUUCUGGAUUCCAGACUCGCCAUGGAGAUGGGGCUGCCAGUGAGGAUCUCUCUCCUCUACUGCUCUCCUGCAGGCCCAUGCCUUCCAUCUGUUACUGACUACUAAGCCUCCCUUUCCAUCCCUUCCCUGGGCUUGGCUUACAGGUGUCCAGUGGAAGUGUCCACAGGCAGGGCCAGCUUCACAGGAAAGAAACCUGGACGGUCCCACAAGACCCCACAUAUAGAAAGACCCUGUGCUUUACUUAAAUUUCUGCUGCCACCGUCUUGAAAUUCUUAGUAGUUUUUGAACAUACAGGGACCCCCCACAUUUUCAUUUUGCACUGGGCACUUACAACUACAUAGCCAGUCCCAUCCACAGUACAUACCACAUGAAUUAGUCACCUUUGACUAGCUAGCAAGAAACACAAAGCUUCAGAAUCUCCCUCUCACCCUGAGUGUGGGUGGAACCCAGAGCGAUGACAAUGCUACAGUGACCUCACCCACAUUUCUCUUCCAGGGAGGGUCAAGAGUGUGAGCAAGAAGAUCAAUAAAAAUUAUCACUAAGCAUCCUCCCUCCCUGGGCUUCGGGUUCCAGAAAACAACCCUUGUCCCCCAGCCCCAACUACCUAUCUGUGAAUAUACAGCAAGUGCCCCCUUGGCCUAAUUAACUAACCUCUCUGAGCCCCUGUUCUUUCUUUCCUCCAAUUAUAAAGGCCAUAAAUGCUCAUUACAGAAAAAUUGAAAACUACAGGAAAAUAGAAGGAAGAAAAGGUCACCUGCCUUAUUUAACACACAUAUUUUCUCUAUAAGGUACAUCGCAGCCUUACUAUCUGAGCGUCAUCACUGUUAACACUUUCGAGUUUUCCUUCUGGCCUUCGUUCCAUGCCUACACUUUUUCACAUAUGUAAGGAAAGACCACCUUCUUCCCAGCAAGAAACAGUAUUGGUCAUCUUGGGAGCUUCUGCUGCUGGUGGCCUAGAGAGCCAGAUGAAGGAGUAGAGAAAUGGCAGCUGACUGCAGGAUGGUACAAGAAGGGGAGGAGAGGAGAGAUACAUCCAGAAGCUGGAAACUAGUUCAGCCCUUUGAUGUCAUCCUCUAAGGAGACAGAGCAGAAUGGAGAAAACAGCAGCAGCAGAUCAGUUUUGAACCCUUGACACUGUCAAGUGGUGACCAGAAUUCAAGGCUAAAGAACAAGCCAACAAGCAUGUAAGUAGGUGAUAGCAGAGAGAGAGGAUGGGCUGGCUGAGGAAGAAAAGCAGUGCAACCCCUGGGAACACCUCCUCCUCCAACUGUCUGAGACACAAGCCAUCAACCCCAGGAGUCACACAGAAUGAGUCACAGAAUGGGUCACACGACAGCUUCAAAAGUCAGGUGAUGUGAUGAAUGUAAAAAUGCUUUAACAAAGAAGAAAAUGGCAUACAACAUCAUCUAGUUUCAUAGGAAUAUCCAACAGUGAUAUGUUUUUUUCAAUAAUGUCAGCUGUUAAAUCAAGUUUACCUAAAGCUGCCUCCUUACAUUUGUAAGUUCAGCCUAAAGGUUUCUCUGUACAUCGUGAACUAUAACAAGUGGAGGUGUAAACAGACCAUAGCCUACACUUAACGCCAAUCACCAAGUUUUGGCCAAUCAAAUGUAGCCAUCCGUUUGAACCAUGGUUCAAAUAAGGCAAACAUCCAGCUGUAACCAACCAGGCUGUUUCUGUACUUCAUUUCUGUUUUCUGUCCAUCACUUUCCUUUUACUUUUUUUUUUUUUUUUUGAGACGGAGUUUUGCUCUUGUUGCCCAGGCUGGAGUGCAAUGGCACGAUCUCAGCUCACUGCAACCUCCGCCCUCUGCCUCCCGGGUUCUGGUUUUUUUACUUGUUUGUUUUGUUUUUGAGAUGGAG